GCUCUGGUGCUGAAAUUGGCAGACAGGCUAGCUUCAGAAGCUAGUGUUCGCAAGAACGUGAGAGUUCGAGUCUCUCCCAGAGCA
rnacentral:tRNA from 1 species